GCUCAACCGAGGAAGUGCUUCGAAAACUGGUAAACUUGAGUGCAGAAGAGGAAAGUGGAACUCCAUGUGUAGCGGUGGAAUGCGUAGAUAUAUGGAAGAACACCAGUGGCGAAGGCGGCUUUCUGGUCUGUAACUGACGCUGAGAUUCGAAAGCAUGGGUAGCAAACAGGAUUAGAUACCCUGGUAGUCCAUGCCGUAAACGAUGAGUGCUAAGUGUUGGAGGGUUUCCGCCCUUCAGUGCUGCAGCUAACGCAUUAAGCACUCCGCCUGGGGAGUACGAUCGCAAGAUUGAAACUCAAAGGAAUUGACGGGGGCCCGCACAAGCGGUGGAGCAUGUGGUUUAAUUCGAAGCAACGCGAAGAACCUUACCAGGUCUUGACAUACCAUGAAAAGCUUAGAGAUAAGUCUUUCCCUUCGGGGACAUGGAUACAGGUGGUGCAUGGUUGCCGUCAGCUCGUGUCGUGAGGUGUUGGGUUAAGUCCCGCAACGAGCGCAACCCUUAUUAUCAGUUGCCAGCAUUCAGUUGGGCACUCUGGUGAGACUGCCGGUGAUAAACCGGAGGAAGGUGGGGACGACGUCAAAUCAUCAUGCCCCUUAUGACCUGGGCUACACACGUGCUACAAUGGUCGGUACAACG
rnacentral:rRNA from 1 species